UGAUUUCCAUCCCUGUUCACUCUUACCACACAGCACACUCACCUGGUUUGCAGUUUCGCCACUGCACUCCCUCGUGUUCAGCUGUCUUCCUCCGUAAGUGGUGGUUGUGGGAGUUGGAGAACUAAUGGUUGGCUCUUUAUCAGUUAUACGACUGUCUCUCCUUUCCAAAUCAACUGAUUUUUCUCUCUAAGGCAAGUCUCCCGUCCAGUUUCACUCUCUAAUUUUCCCUACUUACUGCAGCAAAGUAAUGUGAUUUGUAGAAAUUUCCAUCUCAUAAGUGUGUCAUGUAGUCAGAGGAGCUCUUGAUGAUUACUCGUAGCAGCAGCUGAGAGCAGAAGGGAGUGGAGGGUACUGAUAAGGUGUAGACUAGAGGUCCAGAAGAGGAAAAGGUUGUUUUCCUUUCUCACGGUGGUUUUGCUUUGCCUGUGUGAACAGGACUGAGAAAAUCACCUCUUCCUUCAUUGCGAAUGCACAGCUCUUGGGAGCCAGCAUACUUGCAUAAUCUGUUUCUCUGCUGCAGUCGAGUCAUUUUUCUGAGCUGCAACUUCCUAAUAGAGUGACUUCACAUCUUUGUGCUGAUCUUGGUGAAACUAUUUUAAAAACUGGCAGGAAGAAACAGCUUAGCUGCUUUCUGAAACUCCUAAGCUCAACAGAUUGUGGCCUCUCGUGUAGGUCUUCCUGUCCUAGAGAAAGGCAUGGGUGAACAGAAGAGCUUCCUGGUGUUCCUCCAAAACCUGACUUUGCCUCCUGAGGUGGAUUAAACACAUGAGCCAGCUUCGGGUGUGCUUGGACUGUUUCUUUUUGCUGGUUAGGAGUAGUGGCAGGCCUCUGCGUUGAUGGAAGAAGAGUUCACGUUUGCUACAAAAUCCUUAUAUCGUGGCUCCAUAUGUCUAGGAAAAGAGACGGAAGAGACUACUGAGUCUGAUAGUGGGUCUGUCAAGACUUGGAGCAGAAAGCUUAUCUUUGAGCUACGGGCUGGCUAGCUGAUGCUGGAAUGGUGAACAGAGCCUAUCUGUUGUGGUUUGGGAGAUAACCAUCUGUAAGCAAACAAGAACGGAGCACCGCUUUCUUUCAGGAAGCUACUUCCAGCAUCAUUGCUUUUAUCUGCCCUCUUUAUCUUACCUUCUUCUGAAGGUAAGGAUCUGUCCCUACAGUGAUUUCAGUGGUAAGGAUCUGUCCCUACAGUGAUUUCCAUUAGUUAUGGGAUACACUGCCAGUACAUUGUCACUGACAAUGUGUGGACAUUUAGGUUAUGAUACAUUCACAGUUGUCGUCUGAGCUAAAAAAAAUCCUACUACCUUUUAAGAAUGAAAACAAGGGGGGUGUUUCUGACUCCCAUAUGUGAUCUUUGUAUAGAAAAGGCCUUCUGAUCUCUUAGGAUUGCUGACGUGGCUUUCCUGCAAGCAAAACCUUCUCCGAAGGCAUGACUUUGCAGUUACAUUCCGCAGGAACGAGGGAAGGAGAGUUUGCCUGUAAGCAGUCACCCUUGCAGCACAUGCAUGGGCUGUUACAUUCGCUUUUGCUAGAACAAAUGAAAGGCCAACCCCUUCUAGUGCAGAUGGGACAUCUCUAUGCUAAUCAUGUGUGCACUUCUCUAAAAAAAAAAAUUAAAGCAAAGAAAACGCUAUUUUCCCCUCAGCAAAAUAGAUUACAGGUAUCUUAAACUCCUUGCUGCAUGAAUACAGAUACCUUCACACCUAGAAGCUGAUGGAGCAUCUGCUGUGCAGAUGUUUUCUGGCACUAGGGAGUAAUAUUUUCUUCUUACGCAUUACUCAAGUCUUUUGUGGUCUCCAAUUGCUGACUCAAGCACUUGUUUCUCCAGCGUUCCAAUAAUAGUUGCUAUGGAUGUGUCCUUCCAAUUCCCACGUCUGAGAGUAUGGUCUGAAAUACCACAACCACGUCCAAGAGCAAAUCUCUCCUCACUGUGGCUGAAGUCUGAAAUGCUGGCAUGGUCCUGGUCUUAUUCGUAUUCAGCCACAUCCUCACAUUUGUGGACUCUCAGCCUACAAGCUCAGUGGUAAAUUCCAGAGGAUCCAAGCUCAGAUGGCCCCCUUUGAGCUCUGAAAGGCUGCUGUAAGGUGGAGCCUUCUCUUUUCCAGGCUGAACAACCUCAACUCUCUCUGUGUCAUUAUCAGGCCCCUUUUUUCUGUCCUUCAUCAAGGAAUAUAUUGACUUUUCCAUUUGCAUGCUGUGUUCUCCAUGGACACCCUCUCCGAGCUGUUCCUUACAGUAGCUUUGCUAAGUGAUAACCGGGGGUGUUACAGUGGAGUUCAUGAGGUAACGUCACAAGUUUCUUCUGUGUUGUAAAAGGGACCUCAACAUUCAACGCAGAAUGCAUGGCAUAGAAAGGAGGAAUGCUGCAAAGAGCAAGAUGCAGAGCAAAGUACACGGAGGAAAAGGCAGGCGGUAUGAAAAACUGUUGCCUUAGUCUCACAAAGCAGUGGGAUCUCUCCGCAGGAUCAGGCCAGCAGACCACUGGAACUUCAGAGCAGUUUUCAUGAGUGAACACCUGCACACACUGCUGGGCUGCAGGUCGAGGUGGCUCCAAACAUCUCUCAGGGAAGGGGACGCUUUGCCAAGCUGACACUGAAGCCAGAUCCAUCUGUGCGUAUCUGCCUUGAUUUUCAACAUGCGUAGCACUUGUUGCGAAGACCAGUAGUGGAUUCCUCCCACAGCUUCAAUCCAGGCAGCAUCAGAUGGGAUUGCUUCUGUUGGUGACCGAUGCAAUGAGGCCUGAUCCUUUCCCUCUCAAAACAUCAUCCUCUCACGCCCACGAGUGAUUAGAGGUCUCUCCACAAUGCUUCCCCCGGAACAGCUACGCAAGAGCAGCAGCAGCACAGUAAGAUGACUGUGACCACUUCGUUUAUCUACUGAAGGCUUGAUUCAUCUCAAGAGGACUCCAGUGAAAUUGCUGCUUGUUCCCGCAGUAUUCUGAAUUGCUGGCUGGAGCAAAAUAAAGGUGCGCACCAUGGCAUCUUGUGGUAGUUGCGUUGCCUUUAAACACAAAUUUAUAGCCAUGGAGACAGGGGAAAUGAGAAGCUGCUGAUCACCCCUGGUCUCCUCUCCUGGAACGCUGUCAGACUCCUACUGCUGUCACCGGAGCUGCUCUUCUUUACAUGAGGACAUCUUGUAUGCAAUAUACUUCUGAGUUCCUGAGCAGAGGUAGGUGAAAAUAGCCCGGUGGGGUGCAGCCAUGACCACCUUUUUGGGGACAUCUCGAGAGCAGUCCAGUGCCUCUGACGUUCAACCUCUUCUAUGCGCUUGCUUUCUUUGUCACUGCAACGUGGCACCUAGAAAGCCACGUGCACCGUGUCAUCCUACAUAAAAUCUGGUUUUAUUUGAAGUUAGAAGCAGAAGAGAGUUGAGUUUGUUCAGACACAGGCUCUGGGAUGCAAUAGGUAGCUUUGCCACAGACUCCCUGCUGGCAGGCAGAGGGUGAUGAGGCGGUAACCUCUCCAUCAGGACCUUCAGGAGAGUAAACCAAGAUGCUUUACAGCAGUCAUGAAGAUGCCCGCACCAAGGGCCACCCAAUUGUGCACUUCCCUAUACCUCAGGAGCUAUAACCUUGCUUGCAAAACCCUCCUGACCACAGGUAGGAGCACCUAUUAUGUGCGGUUUAGUCUCUGUGCAGCUCAAAUCCUCUCUGGGAGCCAGAGAAGUCGCUCGUAGUUUGACAGCUAAUGGCCUGGCUUCUUUUAACGUGACACAGCAUAGAGGAAACACUGCAUUCAGACUCUGGCUCAAGUAUGUAAUGCACAUUUGGAAAAUGAAUUGUGAUUUAUGAUGCACCCAGCAUGACCGCACCAUUUGGCUGCCUGUGUAUGCACUCAUCUCCCAGGGUUUCUUUAUAACUUCUCAAUGUUUUAUUUCACACUCCACCUUCCCCUGCUGAGCCCGUCAACCUGGAAAUUGGACUCUGAGGGGACUUAGCCAACCAGAGUCAAUUGAUGCCAUUUCCAGCUCAUUCCAAACAGCCUGCUGGUCACCACACACUUUUACUACGGCCCUUAAAAACCAGAUCUGAGCUUGCAACAGCCUCUGAGAAAGAGAUAUCUCAUUUCUUCUAUGGAGGAUCCCUUGCUUGGGUUUGGAGGUAAGUGAAUAAGCCCAUCUCUAUGCAUCUGACCUAACUGUGACCCACGUGAAGGCGAAGCUCCUGAGGUCCUUCAAGCACGUAUGGUUCUGUUUUGAUCCAUGCCAUGUCCUUGUUCUGGCAGGCUUGCAGUCUUGUUAUCCAGCCUGAAAUACUCAUGGGCCAACUUCUCCUAUGAGGGACCACAAAUCUGGGUCACUGCUUAUGGGCUGAAAUGUGGAAUUAAGCAGCACUUGUUUGAUAAGCUUGCUCUCUGUAAUGAGAAAAUAUCCUGGUAUGAUGUGAAAGGUGCCUUUGAAGCCUCGAGAGGUAUCUGGAGAGAGGAAAAAUAGGGGAAAAACUCUAAUCCUAAAUUUAAUUGGCAUUAAGAACUCGCCCUUUGUGUAUUAAAAUUCUCCGGCAGUGUGAUAGCUGUGCUGUGAUUAUUGCAGGAAUGAGUGAGAAUUCCUGUGUGUUCAAUUUGCCAUCAGCCAUGGAUGCGUGUGUCAGUUCCCUCUAAUUAUACAGAACAUCGGUUUUGCUUAGAGAUUGAUCAUAUUUCAACACAAAGGCACUCGAAGUGCAUUUAUGACAAUUUGCCCAUAAACUAAAAAAUGGUCUCAUUUUAUAGCAGAAGGACCCUCGGUUGAAAGAAAUUUCUGCGUGCUCUUGGGUCUCACUGCAUCCUCUGAGGACACAGCCACAGGUCUGGGAGAGGCAGCUUUGUCCCAAAGAAAACCCUGCUGUGACUUUUCAUGGGAAGUCAAUCCUACAGCAAUAGCUUUUUGAACCUCUCCAGUGCUGCCCCCACCUCGCGGUCUGGGUUUAACCAGCAGGAUUUUGAUUGUUGACUUCCAGAGUCAGUAUCCUCCGGACUGAGCCCAGGAUGUUUUCCUUUCUUCUUGAGAUCUGCCUCGUUUUUGCUUCUUUGCAAUUGUUUAGAGUUCCAGGCACAGGGAUUUUAUUGCAAGUCGCUCUGAUUUUCCUUCAAGACCACUACCACAAUUCUUCUUUUCUUACUCUUGCUGUGGUAUUUCCAGCUCCUGAAAAGCUUCAGGAACGAAUUUGCUCUGAUUUGACAUCUUUACCUUCAGAAGGAUGCACUGAGUCGGGAUAUCCUAUUUAAUAUGAUCCUAUUAACAUUCCACUAACAAUGGAAGCGUUUACUUUUCUUCCAGGUAAGUGAUUUUCCAAGGAGAAAAGCAUUCUUCAGAUUUUACCAUGCAGUGAAAAUAUGGUUACUUGAGAAAAUACUCUUGGUAUGGAAUUUAGUUAGGAAGUACGAAGAGUUAUUGUUAUUGUAGAGCUCUCAUUAUUUUUUUUCUGGAAUUUUGUUGUGGAUCGUGGCCUUUAUGCAAUGUUUCUGCGAGUGCAGAUGUCUGUACAGCCCCACUGUAAUACUGUGAUUCUGCACGUGCUUUAGUAUUCCAUCAAGGACCAGGAGAUGCAGAAUCUGAGUGAGGAAAUACAGAUUUGAACCUUGGCGUCUGAAAGACAAGGGAGUACAGCCAAGCGACUCUUCUUUAGAGAAAAAAGUAGAUGAAUGCAAGCGGCAGAGCUGAUACAGAAAACUGGGAGGAAGAAGCAAAGACCUGUGUGUGCAACUCCUGAUCCUGCUGAUGGAAAGAGAGAUGGGCAAAGCAGCUGCUGCCCAGGGAGGGCCUACGACAGCAUCCCUCACUGCCACCAUCACUUGGCCAAGCAAGCAGUGGCUGGAAGGACAAUUUAUGGAUUGUCAGUUUUCUGCUUCUUCCCUUGCCCUUGUUUCUUGAAGAACGUUGGUGACAGGGGCUGCCACUCCCUUGUACAGUCUGGCAUGUCUUUCUGAGGACUAAAGCAGUGUUUUGAGACUGUGUUUAAGACUACUGCCCUCCAAACCCUCUGUGAUCUUGGAGAACAAGUCUUACAAGGAGCGGCUGAGAGAGCUGGGGGUGUUUAGCCUGGAGAAGAGGAGGCUGAGGGGAGACCUUAUCACUCUCUACAACUGCCUGAAAGGAGGUUGUGGAGAGGAGGGAGCUGGGCUCUUCUCCCCAGUGACAGGGGACAGGACAAGAGGGAAUGGCCUGAAGCUCCGUCAGGGGAGGUUCAGGUUGGAUAUCAGGAAAAAAUUCUUCACAGUAAGAGUCAUUGGGCACUGGAACAGCUGCCCAGGGAGGGGGUCGAGUCGCCUUCCCUGGAGGUGUUUAAGGAACGGGUGGAUGAAGUGCUGAGGGACAUGGUUUAGGGAGUGUUAGGAAUGGUUGGACUCGAUGAUCCAAUGGGUCCUUUCCAACCUGGUGAUUCUGUGAUUCUGUGAUUCUGUGAUCUGAAAACGUCAGUGUUGUUACCCAGAAUGGCAGAUGGAGACGAAUUGGACAGAAAGCCUUGAUGCUAUUCUGCCGCGUGGCAGCAACCUUCUGGCUUUACAAGCCUGUCCUGAGCAGACAUGUCUACAGAGACGGGUAUGUGGAGCUCUGCAGCUUAGGGCUUCAUGGGCUAUUCCUCUUAGCAGACACAACAACGAUGUAUCUGUACCAGAAUAAUGAGAGGGCCCCACAUCACCCGACUUGAGCGCAGUUUGAACCACGAUGUUGUGUUUUCCUGCCUGUGCCCAUGUUGCAGAAGAUGACACGCUUUGGCUUUGUGCAAAAUCCAGCUAUCUUUGCCUUCCCUCUGCUAGGAAGUCUACAACUUCGAAUACCACCCCCAGCUUACUUUCUGUGCAUAAGGACAACAGCUUCAAUGAGUGGGAUCACUCCAAGUCUUGUUAAUUUAGGUAUACGAUUCCAGUGAGUGGUACUCCUCCUUGCAUCAGUUUUACAGCAUGUUUUAUCCCGAAGCGCUGCAGGCUGCUCGCGUUAAGCAACACCAUCUAAAGUAGUGUUUGAAGGUAGAGAAGGAUACGCGCAUCUUAAUUGAACAUCUGUCCUAGAAGGAGCUGAAAAAGAGGUUGUCUGCCAGUAGCUCUCACGCUGUCAGCGAGAAGAGAGCUGGACUUCAGCUAAUCCUGCCGACAAGAAGGCCGGGGAGGGACUUUUACAAGGGUGUAUAGUGAUAGGAUGAGGGGGAAUGGCUUUAAAUUGGAAGGGGGAGGAUUUAAUUAGACAUUAGGAAGAAGUUCUUCACAAUUAGGGUGGUGAGGCACUGGCAAAGGUUGACCAGGGAAGCUCUGGAUACCUCAUCACGGGAUGUGUUCAUAGCUAGGCUGGAUGGAGACUGGAGCGGCCUGAUCCAGUGGGAGGUGUCCCUGCCCACGGCACGGGGGUUGGGACUGGAUGGGCUUUGAGGUCCCUUCCAACCCAAAGCGUUCCGUGAUUCAAUAAUCACACAGGCUGGCUGCAUCGGUUCCUGCGAUACUGAGGGGCCCUUGCGUCAACCUGUGUUACUCCGUAUUGCUUUGCGCCAGCCUUAGGUCUGCUGCGGCCAACUCUGGUGCACACUGCCUUGUCAUGAGGUCUCCGAGACGCUACUGUCCUGCUCUACAGUGAGUCUUGUCUGUUACCAUCAAGUACCCCACUCCCUCAUCCUUCCCCCCGGCCUGUCUCUGUCGCUGCUGGUGACUGACUACUCAUGGAACUAAAACAGUCUGGCUCUGCCUGCUGGGUAUCCCUUGGCAAGGUAUAAAUCCCUCUUCACUCCUGCUGUGAAAGCAGACAUCAACAGCAGGGACCUCUGCCCGGUGCUGCCGCCCAGCAUGAAACACCCCAGGAGGACCUCUAUUGCAUUUUUGCUCCAGCAAUUUCAAA